rnacentral:rRNA from 1 species
AACGAACGCUGGCGGCAUGCCUAACACAUGCAAGUCGAACGAGACCUUCGGGUCUAGUGGCGCACGGGUGCGUAACGCGUGGGAACCUGCCCUUAGGUUCGGAAUAACUCCCCGAAAGGGGUGCUAAUACCGGAUAAUGUCUUCGGACCAAAGAUUUAUCGCCUUUGGAUGGGCCCGCGUUGGAUUAGCUAGUUGGUAGGGUAAAAGCCUACCAAGGCGACGUUCCAUAGCUGGUCUGAGAGGAUGAUCAGCCACACUGGGACUGAGACACCGCCCCGACUCCUACGGGAGGCAACCAGUGGGAAAAAUGGGCCAUGGGCCGAAGGCCGAUCCAACAAUGCCGCGUGGAGGGUUGAGGGCUUAAGGUUGUUAAGCUCUUUUACCCGGGAUGAUAAUGACAGUACCGGGAGAAUAAGCUCCGGCUAACUCCGUG